rnacentral:rRNA from 1 species
AAAACGACUCUCGGCAACGGAUAUCUCGGCUCUCGCAUCGAUGAAGAACGUAGCGAAAUGCGAUACUUGGUGUGAAUUGCAGAAUCCCGUGAACCAUCGAGUUUUUGAGCGCAAGUUGCGCCCAAAACCUUCGGGUCGAGGGCACGUCUGCCUGGGUGUCACGU